GACGAACGCUGGCGGCGUGCUUAACACAUGCGAGUCGAACGGAAAGGCCCUGCUUUUGUGGGGUGCUCGAGUGGCGAACGGGUGAGUAACACGUGAGUAACCUGCCCUUGACUUUGGGAUAACUUCAGGAAACUGGGGCUAAUACCGGAUAGGAGCUCCUGCUGCAUGGUGGGGGUUGGAAAGUUUCGGCGGUUGGGGAUGGACUCGCGGCUUAUCAGCUUGUUGGUGGGGUAGUGGCUUACCAAGGCUUUGACGGGUAGCCGGCCUGAGAGGGUGACCGGCCACAUUGGGACUGAGAUACGGCCCGGACUCCUACGGGAGGCAGCAGUGGGGAAUAUUGCACAAUGGGCGGAAGCCUGAUGCAGCAACGCCGCGUGCGGGAUGACGGCCUUCGGGUUGUAAACCGCUUUCGCCUGUGACGAAGCGUGAGUGACGGCAAUGGGUAAAGAAGCACCGGCUAACUACGUG
rnacentral:rRNA from 1 species